rnacentral:rRNA from 1 species
GAGUUUGAUUAUGGCUCAGGAUGAACGCUAGCGGCAGGCCUAACACAUGCAAGUCGAGGGGUAGAGUGCUUCGGCACUUGAGACCGGCGUACGGGUGCGUAACGCGUGUACAAUCUACCUUUUGCUAAGGGAUAGCCCGAAGAAAUUUGGAUUAAUACCUUAUAGUAUUAUUUGGUGGCAUCAUUGAAUAAUUAAAGCUACGGUGGCAAAAGAUGAGUACGCGUCCCAUUAGCUAGUUGGAGUGGUAACGGCACACCAAGGCUACGAUGGGUAGGGGUUCUGAGAGGGAUGUCCCCCACACUGGUACUGAGACACGGACCAGACUCCUACGGGAGGCAGCAGUGAGGAAUAUUGGACAAUGGUCGGAAGACUGAUCCAGCCAUGCCGCGUGCAGGAUGACGGCCUUAUGGGUUGUAAACUGCUUUUGUAUGGGAAGAAUAAGGUCUACGUGUAGAUUGAUGACGGU